rnacentral:rRNA from 1 species
AGAGUUUGAUCAUGGCUCAGGACGAACGCUGGCGGCGUGCUUAACACAUGCAAGUCACGGGGGCCCGCAAGGGCAACCGGCGAACGGGUGCGUAACACGUGAGCAAUCUGCCGAUCUCUGGGGGAUAGCCGGCCCAACGGCCGGGUAAUACCGCAUACGUUCUCGAGGGGGAGUCCCCUUGAGAAGAAACCUCCGGGGGAGAUCGAGGAGCUCGCGACCUAUCAGCUAGUUGGCGGGGUAACGGCCCACCAAGGCAUCGACGGGUAGCUGGUCUGAGAGGAUGGCCAGCCACAUUGGGACUGCGACACGGCCCAGACUCCUACGGGAGGCAGCAGCGGGGAAUAUUGCGCAAUGGACGAAAGUCUGACGCAGCGACGCCGCGUGUGGGAUGAAGCCUUUCGGGGUGUAAACCACUGUUGCCCGGGACGAAACUCUCCUUUCGAGGAGAUUGACGGUACCGGGUGAGGAAGCACCGGCUAACUCUGUGCCAGCAGCCGCGGUAAUACAGAGGGUGCGAGCGUUGUCCGGAAUCACUGGGCGUAAAGGGCGCGUAGGUGGCGGGAUAAGCGUGUGGUGAAAGCCCGGGGCUCAACCCCGUGUCUGCCAUGCGGACUGUCUUGCUCGAGCGUAGUAGAGGCAGGUGGAAUUCCGGGUGUAGCGGUGGAAUGCAGAGAUCCGGAAGAACACCGGUGGCGAAGGCGGCCUGCUGGGCUACUGCUGACACUGAUGCGCGACAGCGUGGGGAGCAAACAGGAUUAGAUACCCCAGUAGUCC